CACCAAGUUGCCCAGGAAAGACACUGCCGAUCCUGUAACAUGGAGGAUUGUCUUCAUACCUCAUCAGAGAAUCUAUCCAAAUUGGUCAGCUGGGCCCACAGUCAUGGGACCAUUUGCAGCCUCAUUCCAAACCUGAAACAUUUGCUUUCUGAAGGUUCCCAUGGGAACCUGACAGCAAUGUGGGGCUGUAGUGCUGGCCACGCUUAUCAUUGGCCACUAACAGCUACUUGCAGAGCUGGGUCCCAAGAGCGGGUCUGUUUCCAGGAUAACAGAAGUUUUAACUCUGAUAGUCCCAGUAUAAUUGGGGUACCUUCUGAGACACAGACUAGCCCUGUUGAAAGGUACCCUGGGAGACCAGUGAAAGCAAAGCUAGACUGUAAUCGGACCAGAGACUCUUGUGACUUCUCUUAUUGUAGUGAACCCUCUGAACUGGAUGAAGCUGUUGAAGAAUAUGAAGAUGAAAACACCCUGUUUGACAUGGUUUGUGAGUCUUCUGUUACAGAUGAGGAUAGUGACUUUGAGCCCCAAACCCAGAGACCUCAAAGCAUUACUCGCAAAAGACCUGGAAUAGCCCCAUCUUCCCUCCAUUCAAGCUCCCAGGCGCAGAUAGUUGAUGAAUGCAGCAAUGACGUCAUCAUCAAGAAAAUCAAACAAGAGAUUCCUGAAGAUUAUUACAUUGUGGCAAAUGCAGAGCUGACAGGAGGAGUAGAUGGACCAGCCCUGUCAUUGACACAGAUGGCAAAACCCAAACCUCAGACUCAUGCUGGCCCUUCCUGUGUAGGGUCUGCUAAGCUGAUUCCCCAUGUAACAUCUGCCAUCAGCUUGGAGCUAGACCCACAUGGUAUGUCUGCAUCCCCUUCUGUGAUCUCAAGACCAGCUGUCCAGAAGACUGCUAGGGUUUCUCUGGCUUCACCAAACAGAGGACCUCCUGGUGCCCAUGGCACCAGUCAGCAGGUGGCCAUGCAGAUGCCUGUAAGCACUUCUCAUCCUAACAAACAGAUCAGUAUCCCUUUGUCUGCCCUGCAGCUGCCUGGACAGGAUGAGCAAGUUGCUUCUGAAGAGUUCCUGUCCCAUCUGCCCAGCCAGGUCUCCUCCUGUGAGGUAGCUCUUUCUCCCUCAGUUAACACAGAGCCAGAAGUGAGCUCCAGUCAGCAGCAGCCCCCAGUCGCUCCAACCAUAACCACUGAGGCCACAGCACAGUGCAUACCAGGUAUGGCAUGUGAGGCGACAGUGUGUCCCUCAUCUUCGUCUGUCAGGAAAGUCUGCGCCGUCAGCACUUCCAGAAGCCAUUGGCUCAGUUUGCUAGAAUUCAGUCCUUUGUCUCAGAAAGAUAGAAACAAUAAAAUUACUAUAUCCUGGCGCUACCAUGAAGGAAAUUCACCUGAAUUAAGGCCAAGAUUCCAGUUGAUGUACCUUAGAACUGAGAGGACAGCUGUCUAA